AUGAAAGAGCAUGUUCAAUGACUACAGUGUGGAUAUUCAUUUUCGACUAGAUUGAAUUGUCCUAUAUUGCUAGCAUCCUGUAGUUGAAACAGCCACCUUCGUUUUCAUUUUUCCCCUUCAUCUCCUCUUAUUGCUUUAUUCUUUGUAUGCUUUAAGGGGCAAUGGUAUCUCCCAGCAUAUGCCGAUUUUGUUUGUUUGUUUGUUUGUUUGUUUUAAUUCCUUUGAAGAGAAAGACUGAAAACUGUAAUGGGGUUACAGAGAAUUGUGUCUCUGUUGGUUCUUUCAUUUUCUCAUGACUCUGAAAUUUAAUGACCUAAUCAUUGUUGUUUGAAGUUAAAUUAUCUGUUAAAUUAGCCCUAAACAAUAACUGAUGAUAUUUUCCUUUUGGGUCUGGUUUCCCCUGAAUUCUUGGCCCUACAUGGGUAUGACAGGAGUCAAGGAUUUUUUUUUUCGGAUUGUGCACUAUUAUGAGACUAACCAGACUCAAGGCUUAUGUGCAGUGAUGUUAUGGAUGGGAUUUUUUUCAAGCUAUUUGGGCUUUAUAAAUUGGAAAUUCUUUUUAGAACAUGUGCUUGAGCAUGGAUGUGAAUGAGCACCUCUGUAGAUGAAAAAUACGAACACAAUUCUCAUUACUGUCUGAAGGCCAAUCCUGAAAAAGGGAUACACACCCUUGGCGGUUAAUAAUUUCUCACAAAGAAAAUUUAACUGUAGGGAAACCUGCGACAUCAUUUUAGAUGUAAAUUCUAGGCAUCUAAAGUAUAGCUACCUCUUUGAGUCUGACUUAUGUUCACUUUACAUUUAUGAUAAGAAACAGUCUUGAAAUAGUACAGAUUUCCCCCCUUAUUUCUCCUAUAAAGCUUAUGUAGGCUUAGGAGGAGGACUUUCAUGGGAUUUUGAGAGAUCAACACCCUUUUCCUUCACUAUAAAAGGUAGCUAAAGAAUUUUUAAACCAAUAGUAUUCAAGUAUCUGAGAAAACUUUGAAAAUAAGAAGUACUAUUGUGUUUGUCAUAUUAAAAUGUUCUGAAUGAAUAAUUAGAGACUGGGAUGAAGGCUGAGAAAUUCAGAACAAGAAUAAGGUGGUAAUUUUAUUAUUUAAUAAUACUUUGAUAAUUUCUAUAAUUAAUGAUGUGAUUUUAAAGGUUGGCAAAGCUUUCCUGAAAAAAAAAAAAGGGUACUCUGCCGACCUUAUCAAAAAUGUUCUGGAAACAAUUAAGUAGAAUCAGAUAAAAUUGACAGCAGGUAUUACUUGUUUCUUUAUUUAUCUAUUUUUUUCUGAAAAUAAAUACUGUUAAUUACGCAUGGCAAACUCUGAUUGCAGGUUGGAAGACUAAAAUUGAUCGUUUCUGCAUCAAUAGUGUUAUGUAUUGCUACAUUGAUUUGUGUUUAUUUAUGCAGAGCUUUCAGCUAUUUGCUUCCAUAUCUUCCAGGGUCCCUCUUUAUUUUUAUCACACAUUGCUUUUAAUGAAAGAGUUUAUUGUAGCAAGCAAAACAUAUGUAACCGGUCCAUCUUAGGUACACCUCAAAAGUGUACUUAAAUUCUGGGAGUGUGAGCAAGUUAUAAAAUUGUUUAUUCGUGCUUGCCUGUUAGCAAUUAGAAACUUGCUUCUGCUUAAAACCUCAUGCUGUUUGAAAGCUUCCAUUCCUUUCUUCACACAUUGCAUCAAUGUGUUUCGAUAAGGUAGAAAGCAUUAUUUAGUGAUCUUAGAUUUAAUAGAAUGAAACUCAUGAAUAAGAUAUAAUUUUUCAAUUGGCAUGGCUGGGUUAGCCUCAUGAAAAUAGACUAGCCACAAGGUUUUUAGCAGUGCUUUUUUAUGAAAAAUCAAGAAGGAAUAAUUUAAAUAUAGAUGUUGGACAUUUAUUUUAAACAUGCUAACUCAUAAAUAUCCAGGGGUCUUUAUGCAUAAGAAGCCAUUAUGGAUUCUCAUAUAUUAAAUAAUGGCACACACAUAUAUUCUAUUAGUGUGCAUGUGUUAUUGCAUGGUUUGAAGAUAGCCAUGCCACUUACACUGAUGCAGCACAUGGAUAGUAUAUACCAGGAGUCCUCUCAGCACAAAAUAGGAAAACCUGAUUCAGUGUGUUCCUGAUAAGUACAAGGCAGGAGUAAGGGAUGAGGAUAUCCAUAUUUGUGGUUCUCUGUUGCCAUGCCAAAAUAUUGAAAAAUUGCUUGAAGAAUUAAAAAAAAUGACCUACCUUAUUGAGGUCUAUUUAGUAUUUAAUCUGCAGGACUUUUCUCAGUCCUUCCUCUUUAAGAGUUGGGAGUACAACUACCAAAAGCAUACAGAAAUUUUAUUUUUCUUAUUCAUUUGUUAUACCCUUCGUGAAUGCAAGGUACACAGAAAACAAAUUUGUCCUAGAUAUCUUUUGAGACCAAAGAGUCCUUGGGAAAUGGAAUGGGAAUUCCUUUUUCCUCAGCAGUUGUCCAUGGUAAGAGGGCCAAAGGGAGAAGGUGGGCCAUUCUUGGUUCUAAAGUUUUGCAGAAAGUGGAAAGGGAAAGACAGCAGAGAGCUACUUUUAUUUGUUUCAUUUUUCCUUUCCUUGUCUAGUCUUUGAAGCUAGGGAGUGAAGUGGCUGUUGCGGAGCCAAAUGCUGUAAGCACUCUAAGGACGCUGAGGUUCCUUGCAUCCCAUGUUGAGCAGGACUUACCAGCCGAUGCACUCAUGAACUCCUCCCCUAGUCUUUCACGCAUGCACCAGCUAGUCCUCACGUGCGUGGUGUAGUGGACAGUGUUGACUUGAAUUGCUCUCUGGAUGCGAGCCUUUCCUGUGAAUGAACCCGAAAACACUCGACAGGUCGUGAAUAAUCGUUUUAAUGAGUGUGCAAAGUGUGCGACGGGGUGCACCGAGUUGUCGGGUUAAACAAACAACUUGUACUCUGACCAAAUCGGAUUGUUAAAGUGCAAAAUGAUGUCAGUACCAUUCCCACUGCCUUUCGGAAAUCCACAGAUCUGACACGCGGGAGUCCAAUUUUCCCCAUUAAAGAAAAAUAACAAUAUUUUUCAACUGUGUGAUCUUCUUUAAUAUUAGCCAGAGCCAAACAAAACCUCAUUUGAGAAUCACAGUUGUUUCUAACUGAAAAAGAAAAACAAAAAGAAGGAGAUACAAGGGGGAGAAAUAAGCACACAUGAGGAUUUCUGAGGGAGAACUUGUACUUCAUAUUUCACACAUCCUUGGUGAUCAAUAGUGUAGAAACUCUUCCUUCUGUUGCCUAUAUGCAAACGAUCGGGACUGUAGUUUAUUCCCACACUAAUACCGAGUGUGUACACCUGUGAAGGCUUUUCUGUUGAAAAAUUAUCUCAUAUUUAAUGUCUGCAUAUUAAUCAGUAUGAAUGUUUGGAGGAAAGUAAUAAAAAGGAAUGCUAAUGGGCCCCAUCUAAAACAAAGACAGAGAUCAGAGGUUCUCCAGAAUCACACUCCAGUCAAAAACAGUUUUGUUUCUCUGCCAUUCUUGACAAGAUCCACUUAAAGUCACCUUCAUGGACUCACUUGUUCUUUUUUGAAAUAUUAAAUAAGAAAAAAAAGUAAGCAUCAAAAUGUUUUUAAGAAGCAAAGUUCUUGGCACAUUUCUUCCAAAAUAAAAAGUUAGCAGAGCAGAGAUAUGUGUAAGAUAUUUCUUUCCCUUGCCAAUACCUUAGAUAUAUUCAUAUAUCAUAUGUAAUUUCUCUACCCCAUAAUGUUGUAUGGAGAUGAAGUUUGAUGUUUGUAUUGGAUUCAAGGUUAUGCAUUUCUUUAUUGAAGAUGGCAAGCUUGUCAUAGCCCACCGUUUUUAUAGUUAUCAGUUUGUAACAUUUCAAUCAGUAUGGAAAAAUGAAAUGUUAAAAGUGUAAUACUUAAGAAGACAUAAAUAAGAAGCUCCAAUUUGUUCACUUAACCCCUAAGUUGUUAGCUACAUAUCUAUAUGCCUGUUUUUCCAACCAUCUAUGUCACAUAUGUUUAUUUAUAACUAAUAGCAACUGUGUGACCUAAUUGACCUAAAACAGAGAGCUGAAAUACUUGACAAAGUAAGCAAUUCUUAGCUAACUCACUAUACUUUUGUUAUUAUAGUUACUGGUUUUUACACAUGUGUCAUUUUGGCCUGACCUGGAUAAAAUAAAGAUUCUAAAAUUCUGCUUCCAUAAUUAAUUUUUCAAAAGAUAAACAGGGGUUUGGUGAUUUUGCCUCAUUCAUAGCAAACUUCUGUACCAGACUGCCAAUUCAGAAUCUCCUUUGUUUUCAAAUGAAAUUUAACAAAAAUUGACAAUAUUUGGACUGUAGUUAUCUUCUCUGUGUGCUGCCCAACUGAAAGAAUCUUAGGAUCCACUGAAAGAAUGUAUCCAUUUUUUUAGAUGAACAAACAGCAAAGCUAGAGGGUGCGCCUGUUUUUAUGUGUGUAUGUGUGGUUAAAGAACUAUACUAUCAAAACAUUAAUUAUAUUUGAAAGAGCAGGAACUUGUAGAGAGAAUUGCAAUGUUGAGUUUACGUUCCAGAGUUUGCCUGAGAGGAAUGAAGUCAUCUCCUUGUCUUACAUGAUACUUCCUUUUCAGAGAACCACUUAAGAGAGCAAAAAGAUGACAAGGGCUGAUUUGCAGGGAAGAGAUCUCAUAUGCUAGGAUGGUCCUGAACACAGAGAAUCCAUGUGAAAAAUCUGAUGACAUGAGGGUCAUUCAUGGGAUCUUUGUUCUAUACUCAAUUUUUUAAAAAAUGUUUAACAAAUAUCACAGAUGAAUUUGGGAAAGAGAGUGGCUGGGUGACUAAAAAAUACCAGUUACCAGAUUCUUGACUCCAAACUCCUAGUUAUUUCACAGCUGCAAAAUUUAGUAUCCAAAAUUUAGAUUAUCUCCCUUCCAAAUCCUACAUCAGUAUGAAUCAUCCUGAUCAUUUAUAGUUUUUGGCUUAAUUACUAGUUUUUAGCUUUAAAUUACCAAUAAACUAAUUAAUCUGACUAAUCUUCUUAAACUUCUGGUGAAUAGUAUAAUAGCUAAAACAACAACAAAAAUGCAACAAUAAUGCUAAAUAAACUAUUAUUAAUAACAGUAUAAGUAACAGUAGCAGAAGUAACCUUAAAAUAAUUUUAAGGCCAACAGGAAGAAAACAGAACCUAUUUUAACCUGCAAUUUGUGUUUCGUAGCUGCACUUGGGAAUUCCUCCAGUUUCAUGUGUUGCUGAUUAACUAAAUGAUUCUUGUCCUGCUAAACUAAAGUUUCUAAAGAAAGACUCCCUUGGUCUACUGUAGUAGAAAGGCCCUUGUAAAUGUCAUUGAGUACUUUUGUAUUCAUGCUCCAUCAUGGCUAUAGACAUGUCCUCCUCAAGAUGCCAUUCUUAAAGCGGCCAGCUUAGGAGGGAAACUGGAACAGAGGUACACAUAUCAAGGUUUCUUGAGUACAGAGCUGGAGCACCUGCUGCCUAGAUUGCUUCUGGUUAGUAGGCAAGUCACCAUAUUGUUUUAAAAAGCUAAGGAAGUUGAGAAUGGCAGGGUUUUCAGUUUCCAGUGAAUAUAGGAAUAGACAGAUGUAAAGACAGUGAGGCUAAGGGAAAGGAUUUAUUGGUGGUAGACUUCCGUGGUAAUAGUCAAGCUAGGAAAACAAAACCAUUUCUUCAGGUACAAGAGAUGCUUCUAUGAAGUGUAUACGUGAUAGAUGGCUACUAGAUCCUGGGCCUAGAUGGGAAGAAUCUGUCAGUAGUUCUCUACCUGUAGUAAAGUCUCUCAGUCUAGCAUUCUCCUUGCCUCCUGAACACCUAUCCCCAUUUUGCCCCCACAAAAGGGAAGGGAAAUAAAGAUAAUAAGACUUAGAAGUUAUGGAGUUAGACUUGAGGUUUGUCAGGCAGAUGUUUAGCCCUGAAACAGGUGGUGUGUAAUUCCCUGCUUUUGUGAGGAAGAUAGAGAAGCUGGUUAGGAAAGGAAGGGCAGUUGUAGGAGAGAAGAACAGAGACUAAGUCAGAAAUUCCUUGUCAGUUCAGUACUUCUGGCCACAUGAAGAGAGAUCUUAGCAACCAGAUAGUUUGGGAUAAGAGGUGGGUAACCUUACUGCACUGAUGUGGCCCCAGACCCAGAACGCAGAACCUGCACUCUUGAAAAGGUAAAAAAAAAAUGUACCUAUCAGUAUCCAGUGUGUGCUCUGGAAACUGUGUGCUCAGUUCUCACCCACCUUGGUAAGACUGCAGCGGGAGGUGGCUCUGGCUUUACAUAGGUAUUGAUCUAUACUUCAGUGGCACCCCAGCAUUUCUUCAUGCUUGGAGUUGAAUAGCUCUCACUAAGUUCACCCCAAUCUUCUGCAAACAUACUUCUGCCAAACUUAAAAUCAAAAGAGGAGCAUCCCAUAUUCAACUUAAUUGUAAACAAAAUAAUAUUUUAAGGAAGAUAUUCUGUUUGUGUGAUUCUUGUUUGAAUUAUUUCUUUUAUUAAGAAACAAACUACCAUUUAUUUCAGUAAGAAAAUUAAGGGAAGUCAGCAUCACUUGAAAACAUGACUCCCAAUUCUGUCCCAUGCAUUCCCAAAAUAUGGCUUUGGGGAAAUUUAUUUUCUAAUCCUUUGUAUUUUAUUUUAUAUGACUGAGACCUUCAGAGCCAAUACAGACAAAAACAGCCAAGAGAAACUACAUUUAGUGAUUCUGUAGUGAUGAAAUUUGAUGUAAAUAAAAGCUGAAAGCAAUUAUUUCCCAGUAUUUAUAGCUAUGCAGAAACUCUUGGGCCUGUGAAAUUUAAAAACCCAUUUAAUUAAGAUAAUAAUUUCUGUAGCCUAAUAUUUGAAUAAAUCUUUAGCCAACAGAAACUAUAUAUUUAUAUGCUUUUUCAUGUACAACAUGUAUGUCAAGCUGAUGUAUCAAUAAUAUUUGUUCUAUGAAAACUAAAAAUCAAAUAAAUAUUAGCAUUUCAGUACAAGUAAUUGAGAUUUACUUGAAAUCUGCAGGUACUGAAGGAAAUCACUGAAGAUGCCUGUUUGUAUUGAGAGCAAAUAAAGACUUUCUUUCUAUAUUGGGAUAUGGAGGAGUGAGGAAUUAGAAUUUCCUGUAAUGAAGUGUCUCUUUUAGCCAGCAAGCCAAUACAUACAAAUAUCAUCCAUUAUCCACAGUCUAUUCAAUGAAAGGAACAUACGUUUUCACAAGCAGAAGUAAGUCCACGUGAAAAGGAACACAAAUGAUGCUAACAGUUUUUCUCAACACAAUUUUUUUUUCAGGGAAGAUUGCAAUCAGCUCUGUUGAACUAGUAGCAAAAGCAAACAACUGGGCUAUGUUGUGGGGAUUUAGUGGACUCGUGGGCUGAAUGUUUGUGGAGAACAGCAUUACUGUGAGUGAGGUUAUGCAAUUCUUUCACUCUUGAAGACAACUGAGUCUCAGUGGUGUCUAUGUGCGAGCAUUUUAGUUACUGCUAACUACAGUAGAAUAGGAAAGAUUUUCACGACUCAAGAGUAUAUGGAAACAUCUAUCUAUCCUCGAAUGUUUAUUGUAUUUUAUUCCCGUUUCUAAAACAUACUCUUCAUUAGGCUGUGACUUGCAGUCCUGGCUUCACAGCCCGCAGCCAGCUUUCAGCGAAGUGUGGUUCCGUGUAUCAGUGCAGUUAAAGACAAAAGGAUGACCAGGAAAACCCAACUUCUCACCCUAUCAAUGGAAUUCUCAUUGGCAGACAGAAUAGGAAAAGGGAAGCUCCGAAAUAGGGUCCUAGGAAUACAGUAAUUUUCCUUAGGUGAGCUUUGGAAAGACACUAAGUGAAAUACUGUUUAGGCGUUGGUGUUAAUCGCGCAGCUUACAUACAAAUGUGCCGGAAAUCAUGCUCUGUGCAAAUGAAAAUGAAGGAAUUUUAUGCAUAUUCUAAUUCUCCCUCUUUGGCUGCUAUUUUGGAGGAAAAGAUUUCUUUUGCUGAUGGUGGGACUUUUUUUGUUCUGCACAGGAAAUGUGUAAAUGAACACAUCACCCCCCCCACACACACGUCCCGUUUUUCCUUCCCACUUUCCUCCUCCACUCCCCCCCCCCUUUGUCAACAACCACUACAUAGUUAGGGUACGCAGUUAGGCCGCUGAUCCCUGACUGCUUUCCAUUUCCAGGAUUAGAGGGAACAGGUUCACAGCCAGGCCCCGGAUUUAUUGCUUCUCUGGAUCUUCAGGCCCUUGGGAAUCAAAGUAAAGUUUCUAUGGCACGGAGGAAAAGGUUGAGAUUAAAAAGCGCGGCGCUGCUGCGCUCUGCGGUGCUCCGGGAAGGAGAGCAGGGACACGUCGGCAGGACCCGGCCUCUGCGCUCCCCUCGCGGCAGCUGGGAUGCUUCCAGGCCGGUUGGCGCUCGGCUGCCCGGGCCAAUCAUCUCCCCGUCCCAUCUCCCCGAGCUCGGACGCGGCUCGCCAGCGCGGCUGGCGGUUGCCUGUGAAGGAAAUGCCCAGAGAGGCUCGGCACCGAGGAGCGGCCGGCAAAGACCAGAGGAGUCAGUCUGCUGUAGGCCCCUGGCCUGUAGACCUCCCGCCCUCUAGCCAGUCGCCUAGCGGGUCCCCACCUCCUCCGCAGUCCCUCACUGGACCCCCAGCAAGCUCCUUCCCUGGUCUGGGGGUUCGCUCCCCGCUCUCCUUUCACGCCAGUCACGUGGUAGAAGGAUGGCUCCGACGCUAGGUGACAUCUCCCUCCUGCCUGGUGAUGUCUUAACCUUUCUCUUUAUUUUCAUUUCUCUUUAAACGCCUUCACUUCUUAAAUUUGGAGGCAGAAGGAGCUAAGGGCCGAAAGAAAAGGCCCAAUGAAAAGGAAAUCAUUUCUGGCUUUUCAGACAUUUCCACUUGCCCCUUUCCGCACCGCUGGCACAGAGUCACACCAGAAACUGGGGUUGGGACCUCUCCCUCCAGGGCCUAGACUAGUGUCUGUCUGCACUUAGCAGUGGUGCAGUAAAUGGCACUGUCACUGGAUAAAGCAUGGCUUUCUUAGGCUUGGAUCCCCUCAGGUCAGCUGACUUUGGCAUUGGAUAAUUUUUUUCCUUCUAAUCGACUAAAAGGCAAAUAAACACGUAUGUUUUAGAUUGGUGUUAUUUAUCUAGUUGAGCUCCACCCCCUUGUGGGGGGUGGUAAAGUUGAAGAAAAUAUUUUUUCGUGGUCUGAUUCAUAUAUAUGAGGUAACUACUGUGACUUGUAGAGCAUAGAAGUUAAUCCUUUUACGUUUUAUUGUCUUAAAAAAACUUUAGUUUUUUAAUAAAAGGUAAAGACCUUGCAAACGAAGUUAAUCCCUUGUAGAAAACUACAAGAUUUCUUACAUUCCCCUGCUACUUUAUUAUAAUUGAACACUUUUUAAAAACCUGAUUCGUUUCUUUGUUGCUGAGUCUUCUGAACCAUUCAACAAUUCUUAUCCUUUACAAAUUUUUUCUUUUUCUAAAUGUCAUAAACAUUUUUUUUUUACGAUCAAGGCAAACCAUGUUAGGUUUGUCAGACUCAAUUUAGUCAGUCUGUAUAUAUUGAAUACACAUUCGAGUGAGUAUCAUGAACUAUUCCCUAGGGAAUUUUAUGUCCCACUCUCAUUGAUUGUAAAAUAGUGAAAUUAUAUAACCAAUGAGCUAAUAACCAUGAAAGUAAUUUGAAAGGUUAUAAUUGCUAAUCAAAUGUAAAGCAUAUUUAUUAGCAUCAUUAUUAAAAGGUGCCAGAGGGAUACAGAUAAAACCUGUUCCUCUCCUCUGGGAACUUACAGUCUAGUUGGGCAUAAAUAAUGAAAUGUAAAUUGAUAGAAAGAGCUGCGAAGCAAUGGUGUCUGGCAUAUUGGAGACAGUCAGAAAAUGAUUGCCUCAUAUUAAUUUGUAGUUGUGCCAUUCUUUCAACAGAAACACAGUAUUCUACGUAAAGGGUAGAGGAAGGACAAUUAGGAAGACUUUCAUCGGGAGGAUGGAUUUGUCUUCCAUAAGUCACAUUGAGACUGGAAGCACACAAGCUUGUCUGUGUGUGAGGGCUGAAGAGGAAGGCUAAAGACUGAUGGAGGCGUGGGAAACCUCACAGAACCAUCACAACCGAGACGUACCUUACACAACUUAAAAAAUGUGUGCACGCGUGUGGGCAUGUGCAUGUGAUUGCCAGCAUCCGAGGAAGCCAGAGGUGUCAGAUCCCUCUGAAGUUGGGGUUACAAGCAGCUGUGAGUCACCUACAAACAACAGGGGCGCUGAGAACCUAACAAGGGUUCUCUGGAGGAGCAGAAUUUUUUUUUCUUAGCUGCUGGGCCAUUUCUUCAGGCCCUUGCUACUUACUUUUAAAUCAUUCUAGCUUAAGACCUAAUGCAGAGAAUAUAUGAACAAGAUAAGGUUUUGGUGGAAUUCUGGAACAUGAAGUUGGUAGAAAAAGAGUUAUCAUUACAAUGGUCACUGAGUCUCUUAACUCCAGUUGGUAUACAUUGGAAUACACAGAGACCUGCAGCACCCUAGAAUCGCUAUCAUGUGCCCAGUGGUGAUGGAGAUGAUAAGUAUUCAUGAGUGCUGAGAAAUCUUGAGAUGUCAACAUCACCAGCAAGGCUCAAGAUGUAUUUUACAUGUUUGAGGUGAUUUUCAACCAUGAAUGAGUUGCCGUUCUACUGUAUCGACCUUCUCUAGUCCUGGUUUUACCUAGAGAAAAUUUUAGUUAUAGCAACUACUGUGGGGGGAGCAUCGCUAGCAUCUUGUAGGUGGAGUUGUGGUAUGUUACUAAACACCCUAUGAUUCAUAGGUCAGUCCCCUACAAUCUCAAAUUCUUCUGUCCACCUUGUCAGUGGAACCCAGGCUAAAUGAUCUUCAGGCCUGGGAUAUUUUGGACAGCUCCACUACAAGUCUUUGGACCUAAACUUUAUUAUGAACUUCGUACAAGGAAGACUGGCAUGAUCAUCUACUUCACAUCAGAGGGUGUCUAACUGCCAGGGUACUGACACCAAGCAGAAAUUUCCAAGUUUAAAGAGUCACUCCAUGGACUCAUGACAUGUCCCUGGAGAAAAUUGCUUCAUCAUUCUGCAGACUAAAUAAAAAGUGAUCCCCAUCAGUACCCCCAGUUUCAGAACAAUUAGAACUAGAAUAACAUAGAACUGUAUGAUUGUUCAGAUGUCUUCCAUGCCUGAAUUCUUGGUUAUCUUCCUAUCUUCUAGUUUCACAAAUAAAAAUAAUAUAAUAAAUGAAUAAAGCAA